rnacentral:rRNA from 1 species
GAUGAACGCUGGCGGCGUGCCUAAUACAUGCAAGUCGAACGAGUUCUCGUUGAUGAUCGGUGCUUGCACCGAGAUUCAACAUGGAACGAGUGGCGGACGGGUGAGUAACACGUGGGUAACCUGCCCUUAAGUGGGGGAUAACAUUUGGAAACAGAUGCUAAUACCGCAUAGAUCCAAGAACCGCAUGGUUCUUGGCUGAAAGAUGGCGUAAGCUAUCGCUUUUGGAUGGACCCGCGGCGUAUUAGCUAGUUGGUGAGGUAAUGGCUCACCAAGGCGAUGAUACGUAGCCGAACUGAGAGGUUGAUCGGCCACAUUGGGACUGAGACACGGCCCAAACUCCUACGGGAGGCAGCAGUAGGGAAUCUUCCACAAUGGACGCAAGUCUGAUGGAGCAACGCCGCGUGAGUGAAGAAGGCUUUCGGGUCGUAAAACUCUGUUGUUGGAGAAGAAUGGUCGGCAGAGUAACUGUUGUCGGCGUGACGGUAUCCAACCAGAAAGCCACGGCUAACUACGUGCCAGCAGCCGCGGUAAUACGUAGGUGGCAAGCGUUAUCCGGAUUUAUUGGGCGUAAAGCGAGCGCAGGCGGUUUUUUAAGUCUGAUGUGAAAGCCCUCGGCUUAACCGAGGAAGCGCAUCGGAAACUGGGAAACUUGAGUGCAGAAGAGGACAGUGGAACUGCAUGUGUAGCGGUGAAAUGCGUAGAUAUAUGGAAGAACACCAGUGGCGAAGGCGGCUGUCUGGUCUGUAACUGACGCUGAGGCUCGAAAGCAUGGGUAGCGAACAGGAUUAGAUACCCUGGUAGUCCAUGCCGUAAACGAUGAAUGCUAGGUGUUGGAGGGUUUCCGCCCUUCAGUGCCGCAGCUAACGCAUUAAGCAUUCCGCCUGGGGAGUACGACCGCAAGGUUGAAACUCAAAGGAAUUGACGGGGGCCCGCACAAGCGGUGGAGCAUGUGGUUUAAUUCGAAGCAACGCGAAGAACCUUACCAGGUCUUGACAUCUUUUGAUCACCUGAGAGAUCAGGUUUCCCCUUCGGGGGCAAAAUGACAGGUGGUGCAUGGUUGUCGUCAGCUCGUGUCGUGAGAUGUUGGGUUAAGUCCCGCAACGAGCGCAACCCUUAUGACUAGUUGCCAGCAUUUAGUUGGGCACUCUAGUAAGACUGCCGGUGACAAACCGGAGGAAGGUGGGGAUGACGUCAAAUCAUCAUGCCCCUUAUGACCUGGGCUACACACGUGCUACAAUGGAUGGUACAACGAGUUGCGAGACCGCGAGGUCAAGCUAAUCUCUUAAAGCCAUUCUCAGUUCGGACUGUAGGCUGCAACUCGCCUACACGAAGUCGGAAUCGCUAGUAAUCGCGGAUCAGCACGCCGCGGUGAAUACGUUCCCGGGCCUUGUACACACCGCCCGUCACACCAUGAGAGUUUGUAACACCCGAAGCCGGUGGCGUAACCCUUUUAGGGAGCGAGCCGUCUAAGGUGGGACAAAUGAUUAGGGUG